GUCCUCACAGCCAUGCCAACGUUUGCACUGACAGCUCUUAAAAUCCCAGUAAAGCUGUUGAAAGAGAUAGACAAAUGUAGACGCCGAUUCCUCUGGGGCCACGAUCAGGAGCUCACCGGCGGCAGCUGCAAGGUGAACUGGGCGCGGGUUUGCUCCCCGAUCGAGCAUGGUGGCCUUGGCAUCCUCGAUCUGACCAAAUUCAGCCGCGCCCUCCAUCUACGCUGGCUCUGGCAUGCAUGGAAAAUCCCGGAGCGCCCGUGGGCAGGAACAGAGCUGCCAUGUGAUGCCUUCGACCAUGCCCUU
rnacentral:rRNA from 1 species